rnacentral:rRNA from 1 species
AACAAGGUUUCCGUAGGUGAACCUGCGGAAGGAUCAUUACCUAGAGUUGUAGGCUUUGCCUGCUAUCUCUUACCCAUGUCUUUUGAGUACUUACGUUUCCUCGGCGGGUCCGCCCGCCGAUUGGACAAUUUAAACCAUUUGCAGUUGCAAUCAGCGUCUGAAAAACUUUAAUAGUUACAACUUUCAACAACGGAUCUCUUGGUUCUGGCAUCGAUGAAGAACGCAGCGAAAUGCGAUAAGUAGUGUGAAUUGCAGAAUUCAGUGAAUCAUCGAAUCUUUGAACGCACAUUGCGCCCCUUGGUAUUCCAUGGGGCAUGCCUGUUCGAGCGUCAUUUGUACCUUCAAGCUUUGCUUGGUGUUGGGUGUUUGUCUCGCCUCUGCGUGUAGACUCGCCUUAAAACAAUUGGCAGCCGGCGUAUUGAUUUCGGAGCGCAGUACAUCUCGCGCUUUGCACUCAUAACGACGACGUCCAAAAGUACAUUUUUACACUCUUGACCUCGGAUCAG